GGGGGUUUAACGGCGUGGCCGCGCUGCGAUCCAGUGCGAGUGUUGCUACUACGCAGAGGAAGCUACAGCGAGACCGCCACUAGAUUUAGGGGACGGCGCGCCGCGAGGGCACGCCGAUCCCCAACACCAAGCCCGGGGGCUUGAGGGUUGAAAUGACGCUCGAACAGGCAUGCCCGCCAGAAUACUGGCGGGCGCAAUGUGCGUUCAAAGAUUCGAUGAUUCACUGAAUUCUGCAAUUCACAUUACUUAUCGCAUUUCGCUGCGUUCUUCAUCGAUGCCCCACAGACUAUAC
rnacentral:misc_RNA from 1 species